CCAGCCUGGUGUCCGGUUCUCGCAACGUCUCAGGAUCUGAACCGGACACGACGCUCGCU
ensembl:miRNA